AAAUAAAGCAAAGUUCAGGUUGGGCCUAUCGCUAAAAUUCAGAAAUGUUGCCUUAAACCCUAAACCCUAAACCUCUGAUAAGUAGUUGUCUUCUCCAAAUAGGAGUGUAAAGUGUAAACAAUCUCCCUGCAAAUACUCUCCAUUUAAACCAAAUAUUCUGCUCGCAUUUGUCUCUGAGAAACUGAUAAACCGUGACUGCAAGCUACAAAAAUGGUGAGGCCAUAUGCAAUGAAGGGAAAGAAGCGGAAGAAGAAUGCAGAUGUAUACGACAGGGCAGAGGAAGAAGAAUUAGCAGUAGUAGCAGCAGCAGCAGCUGAACCAGAAGAACCAGAGGCAGAGGAAGCCGAUAAGAAACGGAUCAAAGGAAAUGAAUCAGAAGAAAAGGAGGGCAACCCAAUUGAGCUCGAGGGUAUUCCAUUGGCCCCAGCAGAGAUUAACCCCAAGAACGGACCAGGUGCUAUCUUCAUCCUUGAGAAAGCGUCUCUGGAAGUUGCCAAAGUUGGAAAGACUUAUCAGCUAUUGAAUUCUGACGACCACUCAAAUUUCCUGAGGAAGAACAACAAGGAUCCUGCUCUUUACAGGCCUGAUAUCGUUCAUCAGGCUCUCCUUAUGGUUUUAGAUAGCCCAAUUAAUAAAGCUGGGAGGUUGCGAAACGUGUAUGUGAGAACUGCAGCAAGUGUUCUUAUUGAAGUUAAGCCAUAUGUUCGUAUCCCGAGGACAUUUAAGCGGUUCUCUGGUGUGAUGUUGCAGCUGCUACAAAAACUGAGUAUAUCUGCUGUUGGUAAGCGUGAGAAACUUAUGCGUGUCAUAAAGAACCCUGUGACACAGUAUUUACCCAUCAACUCUCGUAAAAUAGGCUUCUCAUACAGUUCGGAAAAAUUGGUUAACAUACAGAAUUAUGUUGCUAGUGCUGAAAACAGUACGGACUUUGUUUUUGCGGUUGGUGCGAUGGCUCACGGGAAAGUUGAGACAGACUGUAAUGAGGAUUUCAUUUCAGUAUGUAGUUAUCCACUGAGCGCGGCAUAUUGUAUCACAAUGAUUUGCCAGGCGUUGGCUGGAAAGUGGACUGUUUUGUGAACAAUGUUUGAGUGAGAAUCUCGAUGCUUGCAAGCUCAUUGGGUUUGAGGGUUCUUCAAAGUUUUGUGUAUCCGGAGUUGUACGAUGUCGGUCUAUUACUUGGUCAAAUUUUGUGAGGGUUGUGGCAAAGGGCAAAACUCUCGUCGCAGCUUGGCAUAAUCGCGACUGUUGAGUCUUUUGAAUGGAGCACUGAUCGCAUGAGAGCAGAGCAUACUACCGUAGUCGCGACUGUGUCAUAGCUCUUCGGUUCGAACCAUCCAGAGAACAAAUUCUCUUAAUCUGUAAAAACAAAUCUCUACGGGUAUCCAAGGCAUCGACAUUGUGCCACCAAUUGUAAUAUUCCGAUAGGCCCUCAAUUAUAGUACGAUGGCAUAAUCCAAGCGGAAUUCUGUUCAACUCGACCGGAAAACCAAAACAGAAUUCCUUCAAACUUGGACUAGUACAACAGUAGGCUGCAGUAAUACGAAAAUACUGUAAACCCCAGAAAUAUUAGAGCACAAGGUGAUUGGAUAAAUGACCCAAAGAAAAUAAUUUCAAGGUGUCAUUCAAGCACAAAGUAGAAUAAAAUAAACAUCGACGAAAAUAUCUUGGUAUUCAAACAGAAACAAUUAAACAAAACUGCUAUUAUCUCGUAAUACAAAAUGCCAUCUGCUCUUAACAUCCGUUCAUUUAAGAUUGAUUAGAGCUAGCGGGACCUGCACCAAAACCACCAGCUCCGCGACCAAACCCAGGUCUUCCACCGGGCCCC